UACGUAGGGUGCAAGCGUUGUCCGGAAUUAUCGGGCGUAAAGAGCUCGUAGGCGGUCUGUUGCGUCGGCUGUGAAAACCCGGGGCUCAACUCCGGGCCUGCAGCCGAUACGGGCAGACUAAAGUUCGGCAGGGGAGACUGGAAUUCCUGGUGUAGCGGUGAAAUGCGCAGAUAUCAGGAGGAACACCGGUGGCGAAGGCGGGUCUCUGGGCCGAUACUGACGCUGAGGAGCGAAAGCGUGGGGAGCGAACAGG
rnacentral:rRNA from 1 species